GUCGCGACCUACCCUCGGGGGGAGGGAACAGGUUUAGGGGUAUUGCCCAAAGGACGGACCUAAGGCCCAUGAUUGGGCGCAAGCUCUCCCAAGCCCAUACCCCGCGUGACAUUGGGAUAUUUUUUUAUGGAUUUUGCACAAAAGGAGUCGCCACUAGCCUAUUGGGGUCGGCUAGAAACCAAGUGAGGCAUGGGAGCGUGCCUCACUUCCUACGCAACCAGAGAAUCUAGGUUCGGGGACUUGAUUACACUAAUUAACCCAAUUAGUGCCCUUUCGGUACCUAAUCUUGUUCAUUUUAACAAAAU
rnacentral:lncRNA from 1 species